AGGAAAUUUAUUGCGGAGGAUAUCAACCAGCAGGUGGGAGGACUGCCUCAAAUCCGCCUCCCCGACUGAGGGAGUCAGAGGUUUUUCUAGAGGUGACAUGAAUAACGCAUGAAGUGAGUGAGCAGCAUUACACGUUUGGCGUGGAGUGCAAGGCACGCAAGCGCAGCGAGAAAUCGUGCUGGCACAUACAUCGCAUGAUCAAAAAGUGGGGAUGUGUGCUGUGAGGGUCACAGCAAUGUGAUGUGCCACGAGCCCAUGAAAUCACAAGGACAAAGUGUAGCAUCUACCAGGAGAAGCCAUUCCAGUCAAUUUCAGCUAGGAGGUCUGGGUGCCACAUCCUAAAAAUGGGACGGUUCUUUGCCACCCUCUCUGUACCUGCUCAGCUUGAGAACAUCACAUCCUCUGCAACCUAGCUGAAGGCCACAUGUUCCAGAUGACCCUACUACAAGACAGCAGAGCCGGAGUGAUCAGGCAUUACUGCAUGGGGGCUUCAGAACCCUCACUAAUCCAAGCUGGACAUCAGUAUGGGAGAAGCAAAUCGUCCUUCGUUGUUUUAAGCCACUGAGGUUUUGCGUUUGUUGGUUAUUGUAACAUAACCAAGAAUGUCCUGUUGGAACACCCCUUUAAAUCUUUGCUCAAAUGUCACCUCAUCAAAGAGGUCUUCCCUGAUACCCUAUCCAAAAUAGCAGCCCUCUGCCUGUCACUUCUGUGCCCCAACUUGGCUUAUUUUGCUCUAUAUGACCUAUUUUCCUUAUAGAACUUAGAAUGGAAGUUUUGUGAAAAUAGCAACUUUGAUUUGUUCAUUAAUAUACUAAUUAGCAUCAAGAAUAGUCCCUGGAACAUAGCAAAUGAUCAAUAGCUA